rnacentral:lncRNA from 1 species
GAGGAACCCGAAUGCACCAUAGGUAAUUGCCAGAAUGCAACAAACGUUGGGUGCUUCAUUGGGGAGGACGAGUGCCGGUGCUUUUGUGUCACGGAUAAAGCUCCCUGUCAUUACCUGAUCCAGAAUUUCCAGCCUGAAUGUGCUUCUGAUGAGUUGUUGCAGUGUUCCACAGAGGUUUCCACCUGCAAAUGUCGCUGCGUUCCUGAUAGUGAGGCUUUCACAACGCCUUUUUUAGUCAGCGCAGACCUUCAGUGAACUGCUACGUUCCACCCACCUGUUCUAAAUGCUGCCUAGUGCACAGUGUGACAUUGUCGGAA